AGCCACGUGGUUCUGCCAGAGACCCCAGGACGAGGAGUCCACACCCUGCUGCUGCAGGAACUCCUCCCCGGUGCACCUGGACACAGCCCAGUGAGGAACCAUCAUCAUCAUCAUCAUCAUCAUCAUCAUCAUCAUACAUCUCUAGGUGGAGCCGGUUCUUAAUAAAUAUCUUGACUUACACGACUCCGGGUGGAUUGAUGGUGCUGUUCCCGCUGCAGAGCGCCAACCCCCGAAACUCAUUAACCUGCAGAGCCUGAGAGACGAGAGCGUCAUCAACAGAAAACUGCUGUGUGCCAGGACGUUCCCACGCCGGCAGUCUGCUGCGGACGUGUUUUGUGUAUCCAACUG